UACGUAGGGUGCGAGCGUUAAUCGGAAUUACUGGGCGUAAAGUGUGCGCAGGCGGCCGCGCAAGUCGAGUGUGAAAUCCCCGAGCUUAACUUGGGAAUUGCGCUCGAAACUACGUGGCUGGAGUGUGGCAGAGGAAGGUGGAAUUCCACGUGUAGCGGUGAAAUGUGUAGAGAUCGGGAGGAACACCGGUGGCGAAGGCGGGUCUCUGGGCAAUUCCUGACGCUGAGGCGCGAAAGCGUGGGGAGCAAACGGG
rnacentral:rRNA from 1 species